rnacentral:rRNA from 1 species
GAUGAACGCUGGCGGCGUGCCUAAUACAUGCAAGUCGAGCGAACAGACGAGGAGCUUGCUCCUCUGACGUUAGCGGCGGACGGGUGAGUAACACGUGGAUAACCUACCGAUAAGACUGGGAUAACUUCGGUAAACCGGAGCUAAUACCGGAUAAUAUAUUGAACCGCAUGGCUCAAUAGUGAAAGACGGUUUUGCUGUCACUGAUAGAUGGAUCCGCGCCGCAUUAGCUAGUUGGUAAGGUAACGGCUUACCAAGGCGACGAUGUGUAGCCGGUCUGAGAGGACGAUCGGCCACACUGGAACUGAGACACGGUCCAGACUCCUACGGGAGGCAGCAGUAGGGAAUCUUGCGCAAUGGGCGAAAGCCUGACCCAGCAACGCCGCGUGAGUGAUGAAGGUCUUCGGAUUGUAAAACUCUUUUGUUAGGAAAGAACAACUGUGUAAGUAACCAUGCACGUCUUGACGGUACCUAAUCAGAAAGCCCCGGCUAACUACGUG